UGUCGUUUGUUUAUGUGUUACAUAUUUGUUUUCCGUUCAUUUUUUUUUUUAUAUAAUUAAGGCCGUUAGUUUUCUCGUUUGAAUUGUUUUACAUUAUCAUAUCGGGGCUUUUUAUAGCUGACUAUGCGGUAUGGGCUUUGCUCAUUGUUGAAGGCCGUACGGUGACCUAUACAUGUUAAUUUCUGUGUCAUUUUAGUCUCUUGUGGACAGUUGUCCCAUUGGCAAUCAUAC
rnacentral:lncRNA from 1 species